rnacentral:rRNA from 1 species
GACGAACGCUGGCGGCGUGCUUAACACAUGCAAGUCGAGCGGUAAGGCCCUUUCGGGGGUACACGAGCGGCGAGCGGGUGAGUAACACGUGGGUGACCUGCCUUUAGCUCUGGGAUAAGCCUGGGAAACUGGGUCUAAUACCGGAUACGACUCCGCGGUGCAUGCUGUGGGGUGGAAAGCCUUGUGCGGCUGGAGAUGGGUCCGCGGCCUAUCAGCUUGUUGGUGGGGUGAUGGCCACCAAGGCGACGACGGGUAGCCGGCCUGAGAGGGCGACCGGCCACACUGGGACUGAGACACGGCCCAGACUCCUACGGGAGGCAGCAGUGGGGAAUCUUGCGCAAUGGGCGAAAGCCUGACGCAGCGACGCCGCGUGAGGGAUGACGGCCUCGGUGUAA